rnacentral:rRNA from 1 species
AUUGAACGCUGGCGGCAGGCCUAACACAUGCAAGUCGAGCGGAUGAAGGGAGCUUGCUCCUGGAUUCAGCGGCGGACGGGUGAGUAAUGCCUAGGAAUCUGCAUGGUAGUGGGGGAUAACGUCCGGAAACGGGCGCUAAUACCGCAUACGUCCUGAGGGAGAAAGUGGGGGAUCUUCGGACCUCACGCUAUCAGAUGAGCCUAGGUCGGAUUAGGUAGUUGGUGGGGUAAAGGCCUACCAAGGCGACGAUCCGUAACUGGUCUGAGAGGAUGAUCAGUCACACUGGAACUGAGACACGGUCCAGACUCCUACGGGAGGCAGCAGUGGGGAAUAUUGGACAAUGGGCGAAAGCCUGAUCCAGCCAUGCCGCGUGUGUGAAGAAGGUCUUCGGAUUGUAAAGCACUUUAAGUUGGGAGGAAGGGCAGUAAGUUAAUACCUUGCUGUUUUGACGUUACCAACAGAAUAAGCACCGGCUAACUUCGUG